CUCUAAUCACAUAUCUACCGUCCAAAUGUUUCCUCAAUCCAUAUGACUUAUUCUAUCACCGUCCAAAUUUUUAGAUAAAUCCCUUUCUAAGUUAUCUCUCACUUCAUUUUUUUCCCUCGUCUCUCUCUCUCUUUGUUGCUCUCAAAUCUAGCAAAAGGAAAAACCCUAACAACACUGCCGCCAUCUUCACUAACUCACUCACCACCACCACUAAGGAACAUAUUAGAUCUGUUAGAUGCAUAAAUCAAAAACAUAGAAUCAGUCUCAGAAUCCGCCUCCUCUUCAUUCACUCCUUUUUCUGAUUUCUUUUUCUUCCUCACCCAUUCUCAGAUCUGUAACCUCAUCUCCUGUAAAUGGUUUCAGCAACUAUAGAUCGGCUGAUACUCAUUAUUAAUCUUGUGAUUCUUAAUGUUUAUCAUUAAGAAACAAGAUAGAGCUACAGUAUUGAAUUAAGACAUUAUUGUAGCAAUGGCUCCUCUGGGACUCACCAAUAACAGAAGAAUUAUCAGAAGAUUUACAAGCAAUUAGAUGGGGGUUGGAUUCGUAAUGAGGUUUUUUAAAAGAGGGUCAGAAGAGGACUGGAGAAUUUGAUGAGAAAACGGCCUUCAAAAAGGCUAAUGAUCCCCCUCAACAGUUGGUAGAAGCCAAACUGGAGGAACAAACCAGUACAUAGAGGAAUUGUUCAGUUUUUCCCAUUGAGCAAGCUCAUGUGCAACAAAAUUACAAUAAUGAGAAGCAUUUGAAGAGGCUUAAUGCGAUGCUCAAUAAACUUGGAGGCGCAUUUAGCAUACCGGAUUGGAUUCGAUGAGAUUGGAUAACGGUUGAAUGUUGCAAAUCGGAAUCUCGGUAUUGACAAGAUGUGGAAGGCUCCCCAGAAUAAAUAUUUUGUGCCCUGUGUUGAUCAUACUCCUAAGUAUUCAUAAGGAGAUGCAUCAACUGAAUUAUAAUUGCAAGUGUACUCAGUUUUUGUAUUAUUGAGCACUUAGAACUUCUCCAAUGGAACGUGGUAGCAGUUGCGUGUAUUAUAAGCACAACUGGUCUUUUUGGCAAGAUACUAGCUACCGAAGGAACUGGAUACUGCUACCAGAGCAGUUACGCAUUUCAGAAGCUGGUUGGGUAUGGAAUACCACCAAGAUGAGAUAGCUCGCAUGUGGGAUGGUUACCAGGUUAUUCGAGAAGAAAAAUCCGAUUUUAGCCUAGCUAACAAUAAUCUACCUCCGGAUAUUCAUAAGCUUCGUUGUCGUACUCUUUAUAGUGCCCUUCGUUUUUCGCCUCUGAUGGAAGCUAUGUGAAAGGAGAAGGCUGCAUUAGCAGCUCAAAAAUCCCCUUCCGCAUUGAGUGUGAGUUCCGACAUUUGGCCAGUAAACAUGGAAAAAUGCUCAUGAGCAGGCGGGUGCAAGUGUAUCAACGCAAUCUUUUCAAACAUGAAUGGGAUGCUGCAGCGGAAAGAACUUAAUGGUGAAGGUGUUUACAGAAGGACAAGGCCUCUUAGAUACACUGCAGGAAGCGUGCCAAGAAGAAGGCACACAUACCAGAGGAACAGGAGGACUGUCAAUGGUGAGAGCUUAGUAAGUACAAAACCAGAUCCAGGCUCUCAGUUGCUAUCAAUCCCUCGAUGAAAGCCUAGGUUCCGUGUGUCCUUGAUGUCUUAAUAUUUUAGUCAGUUUAUCUUUUCAAUGUACAAUGAAUAUGGAUGUGAGCACACAAAUAUGUUCCUAGUUUUUUGCUGUCUUGGUGGUUAACCAGAAGAGGUGGAUGAAUUUUCAAAAUCAAAUCCAUAUUUAUU